CAGCGAGUGCUCGGGCUGUUGCUGCUUUAAGGAAAUCGGAACCAUUCUCCUCUGCUUGCAAUUUUGUUCCAUUUCUUCUUUCUCGUCGCCCUUGCAGAUCCUUGGUUCAUGUCAGUGCAACAAACAAUGAAGAGGCUGCUGCCAAAGUGGCUGCAGUUAAUGCUGACAGUGGAGCUCCUACCAUAUUUGACAAGAUAAUAGCUAAA